rnacentral:rRNA from 1 species
AUGGCUUGGCUCAGUUGGGAUAAAAUGCGCCUUGCAAAAUCAAAGGGUGGCAUCGGAUUCAGAGAUAUGCGCGCUUUCAACCAAGCCCUGCUAGCUAGACAGACGUGGUGGAUGAUUGAAACCCCGGAUAGUUUGUGUGCUCGACUACUUUGAGCAAAAUAUUAUCCAAACGGAAAUAUUCUGGAUACAAUGUUUUCUUUGUUCUUUGGCUUCUGGAAAGGCAUUGAGUAUGGCCUUGAGCUAGUGAAAGAAGGAAUUAUUUGGAGAAUUGUUGAUGGCUCUAUGGUACAUACGUGACGGGAUCCUUGCAUACCUAGGGUUAACGACCUACGACAGAUCACUCCGAAAAGAAACCGUCAGUUUAAUCGAGUUUCAGAUUUCCUUUUUGAUCAUGGUGGAUGGAAUCUGGAGUGUCUCCGGCAACAUUUCUGGGACGUGGAUGUGCAACAAAUUUUGAGGAUAUGUACGUCGCUGAGGAAUCAUGUUGAUUUCCUUGCUUGGUUCCCAGAGAAAUCCUGAAGUUUCACUGUUAAAAGUGUCUAUCGUCUCACAACAAAAGACCAUGAUGACUCGUUUGUGGGUGGGGCAUCUAGUAUACAUCUGAGGGAGUACUAUCUAUAUGGAAUUUUAUAUGGUGAGCUAACACUACUGCAGGAUGCUGCUAACGCGACACUACGAUCAGAGAUUCUUCGAUGA